UAGCAGACAACGCGACAAUCAUUUUCCUCCUCCAACCCCCAUAACCACUGCCCGAGAAGGGAGUGGACACAAGAGAAACUCCAGGAACAUUAGAGGAGUAAACAAAAAGGGGGCUGGUAGAGUCCACUGAGGAGGUAUUAACAUUCAUAUUAGAAGUCAUGAACAAUAACCAGUUUGAAAUAAAAAACAGACUCAGUAAACAGGCUAAAGUUGAAUCAGAACCCACAUGCAAAAUAUACAACACUAAGAACAAGGAUAGAGUUACCCUCCUUCUUCGCGACCGGAGAAGAAACGGCCUUCAAUCGCCAGAUAAAUCCCUAGGUCCGACCACCGGAAACUGUAGGGUAUGGAAACUUACCGGAAUAGGGUCGUGACAUCGGAAAAUCACCCAAAACAUCCACCGAGUGAGGAUCGAGCCAUCGGAUAGCAGUAAAACCCUAGGUCUAACCACCGGAAACCCUAGAAUCUGGAAAGUCACCGAAAUAGGGUCAGGGAUGUCGGAAAAUCACCCAAAAUAUCCACUGAGUGAAGAUCGAAGCAUCAAAUAACAGUAAAAGUUCCGAUUACCUGUUCAAUACACAUCGCUCUCUCGGUAAACAGAAUCUCUCACAAAUAUCCAGAGAAAAACCUUCAAUAGGACUUCUAACACGAUCGAUAACAAGUAACGGAGAAGAAUCCGAGGAUCAUCCCGCUCUGAUACCAUGAUAAGAACGGACCUUAAGCCUAACUCAACCCCAAAAACUAGCUUAUGAGGUGAGGAUUGCCCAAGCCAUAUAAGGAGAC
rnacentral:lncRNA from 1 species